GUAUCAUAUUGUCUAUGUGAUCAUGUGUCUAAUUGCCAUCCACUUACAGGCCCUCUGCCUCCUUUCAUUUGUUUUUUUAGUUGUUUUUUUUUUUCAGUUUUUUUUUCUUAUUGUUGUAUUGUAUGCAAUUAUGAUAAAUAUGUUACUGUGAUAUUGUUAUAACACAGAGACUUUGGUAAAUGUGACAUUUAAGUACUGCUGUACAAUUUUCUGCUCUCAUUUUCAGAUGAAAAGUGCUACACAGUUCUCACACAUAUUCUGACUCCGAAGCCGCUGCAGUGUAAAAUCUGAGAUGUCUUUUCUGGUUGAUUUUGUACAGAUUUCUGACAGCGAUGGUGAGGGAAGCAGUGUACCGAACUCUCAGAUGACUCUGACCAGAUGACCAAACCCAUGCAAAGCACAAUGACUGUGCUGAGGCGUUCCGCCCCCCUCCCCCUCCACACCACUCAAGGCACGGCGGCGGCCCAACCGCAAACUAACGGAGAUUAACAUGAGGCUGGAUGCGCUUGGCUCCCUGCUGCGUCCAUCACCAGAGGGGCCGGGGUUGCUGCGGCAGCUAGCCAAUUAAAGGAGGAGGAUGAAGGAGAGGAGUCUGACGAUGCAGACAUCGCCAUCGUAUGCAGUCCACGCCCUCGCAGGAAAACCAGCCAAUGAAAACGCUUGCAGCAGCAUCAGCAGAACACACCGGCACGACUGACAGAGCUUCUGAAGCAUGCAGUGGAAGAGCCGUCAGUCAAGCUAAAGGUCCCAUCCUCCAACCUGCUGCUGCUGCACGGAGAGGCGGAACUUAACACCUCCCACACUAUUGGCCAGCUAGGACUCUGCAUCGCUGACAUCUUUGUCUGGAACCAACUUCACAUCCCUCUUCACUGCACUACUGACACUGAGAUGGAAUCCACAACCCAAUCACUAGUGGUCUGCAUUGGGAACCUGAAGAGUCUGUCAUAACCGCCAGGAAUGACCGUGUGACCAUUCCCGUUGCAGACGGCCUGACUUGCACAAUUGACAAGCUGUUCAAGCUUUACUGGGUCUGCAACUUGUUAUAUCCAGCACAGCUCAGCUCUGUUUUCACCUUCUUUGAAUAUGUUUAUGACGUUCCCAUCUCAACCAACAAACGAACAAAGGCACUACAACUUCUCUCAAAGCUUCCCAGCAGCCCAGUGAUCACUCAACAUGUGUUUAUGCCCAAAAUGUAAAUAGUUACUACAGACAUCAAGAAAGUAGUUUGGCAUCUUUGUCAAGUACACGCUUUGUCAGAUGCACAGGAUAUGAUGAUAAUUUGCAGCCAAGAUGGCUGUUCAAGUGUACAAGGACUUACUAUGUAGACACCACCUACGUAGACACCACCAGUCCACAACAACAGAAAUGGGAGUAUCUUUCAAUGACUCUUUUGAAUCCACUGACAUUCAGACAGCCUAUGCAGCUUCAAGUAACACCUGAAGAAAGAGCAUUUUGUGUCCCUUCUCAAGGACCGAUUCUCCAUAAUUUACCAGUUAAUGGCAAUUUAUCUGUGUUCAUGCUUGUUAGGAUUAUUACAGGGAAUUAUUUUGAUUAUCAUUUUGGCAACACUUUAUUUUAUCAUUACAUCUAUUAGCUCUAAUACAUACAGUGUUAAUGCCUGUAUGCUGUAUAAGUAACUUGUAAGGCAUGCACUAAGCAAAAUCAAACAUACGUUAGGCAUGUAUUCGCAAAUGCCUUGUUCAUGCACUAUUUGGGAUUUAUUACCUAAUAUAACCUGAUUUCGCUUAGUACAUGCCUUACAAGUUACUUAUACAGGCAUUAACUCAUUGAUACUGGAUGUUGCGUUGUGCAACAUUGGCCCUGGAGUUUUGUAUGGCAUCAGCACCCUUUUCUGCAAGUGCUUUAGGCAUCAAUGGGUUAACAUUGUAUGUAUUAGUGCUAAGCGAUGUAAUGUUAAAAUAAAGUGUUACCAUCAUAUUUUUAAAAAAUAUAUAUGUUGUAAAACUGGACGAUUGUGAAAUGAUAUGAUGUGGCAGAUGUAAGACCCAUUGAUGUAAUGCAGAGUUUUCAUUCA